rnacentral:rRNA from 1 species
AAUGAACGUUGGCGGCGUGGAUUAGGCAUGCAAGUCGUUCGCCCCGCAAGGGGCGAGGCGUAAGGGUGAGUAAGGCGACGGCAACCAACCCCGCGGCCGGGCAUAGCCACUCGAAAGGGUGGGUAAUUCCCGGCGCCGCGACCAGGGGGCAUCCCCCGAUCGCGAAAGGUGUGACUCCGCCGUGGGACGGACCGUCGUGGUAUCAGCUUGUUGGCGGGGUAACGGCCCACCAAGGCGUUGACGCCUACCGGGCGUGCGAGCGUGGCCCGGCACACUGGGACUGAGACACUGCCCAGACUCCUACGGGAGGCUGCAGUCGAGAAUCUUCGGCAAUGGGCGGCAAGCCUGACCGAGCGACGCCGCGUGGAGGACGAAGGCC